rnacentral:rRNA from 1 species
CCUACGGGGUGCAGCAGUGAGGAAUAUUGGUCAAUGGGCGCGAGCCUGAACCAGCCAAGUCGCGUGAGGGAAGACGGUCCUAUGGAUUGUAAACCUCUUUUGUCGGGGAGCAAAAGACGCCACGCGUGGCGUUCCGAGUGUACCCGAAGAAAAAGCAUCGGCUAACUCCGUGCCAGCAGCCGCGGUAAUACGGAGGAUGCGAGCGUUAUCCGGAUUUAUUGGGUUUAAAGGGUGCGCAGGGUGAUGAUCAAGUCAGCGGUAAAAUUGAGAGGCACAACCUCUACGUGCCGUUGAACUGGUUGUCUUGAGUGAGUUAGAAGUAUGCGGAAUGCGUGGUGUAGCGGUGAAAUGCAUAGAUAUCACGCAGAACUCCGAUUGCGAAGGCAGCAUAC